GGAGAAGUGGCCGAGUGGUCGAAGGCGGUUGACUCGAAAUCAACUGAGCGGCUUGCCGUUCCGUGAGUUCGAAUCUCACCUUCUCCG
rnacentral:tRNA from 1 species